rnacentral:misc_RNA from 1 species
GAUAAAGAACGCAGCGAAAUGCGAUAAGUAAUGUGAAUUGCAGAAUUCAGUGAAUCAUCGAAUCUUUGAACGCACAUUGCGCCCCCCAGUAUUCUGGCGGGCAUGCCUGUUCGAGCGUCAUUUCAACCAUCAAGCCCUGCUUGUGUUGGGGUCCUGCGGCUGCCCGCAGGCCCUGAAAACCAGUGGCGGGCUCGCUAGUCACACCGAGCGCAGUAGCACAUCUCGCUCAGGGCGUGCGGCGGGCUCCAGCCGUUAAAGCACCCACCUUUCGCAAGGUUGACCUCGGAUCAGGUAGGAAUACCCGCUGAACUUAAGCAUAUCAAUAAGCGGAGGA